rnacentral:rRNA from 1 species
CCAAUAGCGUAUAUUAAAGUUGCUGCGGUUAAAAAGCUCGUAGUUGAAUUUCGGAAUUGAUGCAUCGGUCGUGCCUUAAGGGGCAUGAACUGGUGUAGCCAAUUUCUCACCUUCUGGUGAAUUGUGAUGUUCUUAAUGGGGUGUCUCAAUGAACUAGAAUUUUUUACUUUGAAAAAAUUAGAGUGUUUAAAGCAGGCAUU